UGUUUCUUGCCAGUUCUGUUCUCUUGUAAUUCAAGGCAUUUGAACCAACUGGGGGUAAUUGGUGGGCAUUUGAAUGGCAUGAAAUUCAAGGGAAAAAGAGGAGGUAUGAUAAUUUUCUGGGAAUUUAUAAAUAUCCUAACAAGAAAAGACUAAAAAGUAUGCGAUAGAAAUAUGAGAUUAGACCUAAAAUAAAUUAUAAUAUUGUUAAAGAAUUUUGUUAAAAUAACCCUACAUUUAGUAAAAAUUCAUUAUCUCUCUUGCCCCCAGUCUAUUAGUGGCCUAUUAGAGUCUAUUUCUCAAGAACUCAGUGUUGAAAUUUUGAGGUCGGUCAUCUCUUUUAGCCCCUUUAUCUAGUUAUAGAGGUCUUCUUCCUUAUGCCUUCAGAAUGUCGUGUACACAAAUCUGGGAUAGAUGGAGUAGGUGUCUGUUGACAUGGAUUUGAGGGGUUUCAGGGGACACCACUGUUGUGGGUCUGGAAGAUGGUUUGAUCUUUAAAGAAUGCACAAAUUCAACCUCCUUGAAAAAGGGUGAAAAAUCUAUUGGUUGACACCUAUGGGCUUAAAGGAUUUGGUUGGACAGAUACUAAACCAGGGGUUGGAGGAGGGAGCAAGCAGGAAGAAGGAAAGAAACGCAGGAGCAGAGAUGAACUUUAGAAAUAUAUUGUCAAAAUAAAAUCAAUCCUCAAGAAAUUAUGAUCCGGAGUGCAUUAUCCCCUCCUUCGGGAAGAAUGGACAUCUUUACAAGAUUAAGUCUACCCAACGAGGAACAUGAUGGAGUAAGUUAAGAUGAGGUCAUACUGGAUUAGAAUGGCCCCUAAAGCCAAUGACUGGUGUUCUCAUAAGAAGGCCAUGUGAAGAAAUACAGACACGGGCAGAGGGAAGAUGGCAUGUGGAGACAGAGGCAAAGAAUGGAGUGAUGCAGCUACAAGCCAAGGAACACCAAGGAUUGCUGGCAAACCACCAGAAGCUAGGAGAGAGGUGAGAAAGGAUUCUGCCCUAGAGCUUCAGAGAGAGCAUAGCCUCGCUGACACCUUGGUUUCAGACUUCUGGCUUUCAGAACUGUAAGAGAACAAAUUUCUAUUGUUUUAAGCAACCCACUUUGUGGUACUUUUUUACACUUGUCCUCGGAAACUAAUACAUCAAGUAUCUAUUUCAUCUCACAGAUGUACAAAGUAGCGACUAAAGGAGAAAUCCAGUAACUAAGUUAAGAAAUUAUUAUUU
rnacentral:lncRNA from 1 species